GAUGAACGCUAGCUACAGGCUUAACACAUGCAAGUCGAGGGGCAGCAUGGUCUUAGCUUGCUAAGACUGAUGGCGACCGGCGCACGGGUGAGUAACACGUAUCCAACCUGCCUGUUACUUGAGAACAGCCUUCUGAAAAGAAGAUUAAUGCUCAAUGGUAUUAUGAUUUCCCAUGUAAUCAUAAUUAAAGAUUUAUCGGUAACAGAUGGGGAUGCGUUCCAUUAGAUAGUAGGCGGGGUAACGGCCCACCUAGUCAACGAUGGAUAGGGGUUCUGAGAGGAAGGUCCCCCACAUUGGAACUGAGACACGGUCCAAACUCCUACGGGAGGCAGCAGUGAGGAAUAUUGGUCAAUGGAUGAGAAUCUGAACCAGCCAAGUAGCGUGAAGGAUGACUGCCCUAUGGGUUGUAAACUUCUUUUAUAAAGGAAUAAAGUGAGUUACGUGUAACUCAUUGCAUGUACUUUAUGAAUAAGGAUCGGCUAACUCCGUGCCAGCAGCCGCGGUAAUACGGAGGAUUCGAGCGUUAUCCGGAUUUAUUGGGUUUAAAGGGAGCGUAGAUGGAUGUUUAAGUCAGUUGUGAAAGUUUGAGGCUUAACCUUAAAAUUGCAGUUGAUACUGGACAUCUUGAGUACGGAUGAGGCAGGCGGAAUUCGUGGUGUAGCGGUGAAAUGCUUAGAUAUCACGAAGAACUCCGAUUGCGAAGGCAGCUUGCUAAACCGUCACUGACAUUGAUGCUCGAAAGUGUGGGUAUCAAACAGGAUUAGAUACCCUGGUAGUCCACACGGUAAACGAUGAAUACUCGCUGUAGGCGAUAUACGGUCUGCGGCUUAGCGAGAGCGUUAAGUAUUCCACCUGGGGAGUACGCCGGCAACGGUGAAACUCAAAGGAAUUGACGGGGGCCCGCACAAGCGGAGGAACAUGUGGUUUAAUUCGAUGAUACGCGAGGAACCUUACCCGGGCUUGAAUUGCAUCUGAGUGGAGUAGAGAUACUUCAGCCGGCAACGGCAGAUGUGAAGGUGCUGCAUGGUUGUCGUCAGCUCGUGCCGUGAGGUGUCGGCUUAAGUGCCAUAACGAGCGCAACCCUUGUUGACAGUUACUAACAGUUAAAGCUGAGGACUCUGUCGAGACUGCCAUCGUAAGAUGUGAGGAAGGUGGGGAUGACGUCAAAUCAGCACGGCCCUUACGUCCGGGGCUACACACGUGUUACAAUGGGGAGUACAGAAGGCAGCUACACGGCGACGUGAUGCUAAUCCCAAAAGCUCCUCUCAGUUCGGAUCGAAGUCUGCAACCCGACUUCGUGAAGCUGGAUUCGCUAGUAAUCGCGCAUCAGCCAUGGCGCGGUGAAUACGUUCCCGGGCCUUGUACACACCGCCCGUCAAGCCAUGGAAGCCGAGGGUACCUGAAGUGCGUAACCGCAAGGAGCGUCCUAGGGUAAAAUUGGUAACUGGGGC
rnacentral:rRNA from 1 species